CCUACGGGAGGCAGCAGUAAGGAAUAUUGCUCAAUGGGGGGAACCCUGAACCAGCCACGCCGCGUGCAGGAUGACGGUUUUCUGAUUUUAAACUCCUUUUUUUAGAGGAGUUAAUGACGGUAUCUAUCUAAUAAUCACCGUCUACCUCCGUGACAGCAGCCGCGGUAAUACGGCGGGUGCCAGCGUUACUCGGAAUCACUGGGCGUAAAGAGCGCGUAGGCGGGAUAGAAAGUCAGAGGUGAAAUCCUAUGGCUUAACCAUAGAACUGCAUUUGAUACUGUUAUUCUAGAGUAUGGGAGAGGUAGGUGGAAUUCUUGGUGUAGGGGUAAAAUCCGUAGAGAUCAAGAGGAAUACUCAUUGCGAAGGCGACCUGCUAGAACAUAACUGACGCUGAUGCGCGAAAGCGUGGGGAGCAAACAGGAUUAGAUACCCGGGUAGUC
rnacentral:rRNA from 1 species